rnacentral:rRNA from 1 species
GACGUAGGGCGCGAGCGUUGUCCGGAUUUAUUGGGCGUAAAGAGCUCGUAGGCGGCUUGUCGCGUCGACCGUGAAAACUUGGGGCUCAACCCCAAGCCUGCGGUCGAUACGGGCAGGCUAGAGUUCGGUAGGGGAGACUGGAAUUCCUGGUGUAGCGGUGAAAUGCGCAGAUAUCGGGAAGAACACCCGUGGCGAAGGCGGCUCUCUGGGACGGUACUGACGCUGAGACGCGAAAGCGUGGGGAGCGAACAGG